rnacentral:rRNA from 1 species
CCUACGGGUGGCUGCAGUAGGGAAUAUUGGGCAAUGGCCGCAAGGCUGACCCAGCCAUGCCGCGUGCAGGAAGACGGCCCUUGGGGUUGUAAACUGCUUUUACCGGGGAAGAACGGCCCUCUUGCGAGGGGGUGUGACGGUACCCGGGGAAUCAGCACCGGCUAACUCCGUGCCAGCAGCCGCGGUAAUACGGAGGGUGCAAGCGUUGUCCGGAUUUAUUGGGUUUAAAGGGUGCGCAGGUGGCCUGGUAAGUCUGACCUGAAAGUGGGCCGCUC